CUACCCUUGACAUGUAUGGAACCUGGCUGAGAGGUCAGGGUGCCCGAAAGGGAGCCAUAACACAGGUGCUGCAUGGCUGUCGUCAGCUCGUGUCGUGAGAUGUUGGGUUAAGUCCCGCAACGAGCGCAACCCUUGUCCCUAGUUGCUACGCAAGAGCACUCUAGGGAGACUGCCGGUGACAAACCGGAGGAAGGUGGGGAUGACGUCAAGUCCUCAUGGCCCUUAUGGGUAGGGCUUCACACGUCAUACAAUGGUCGGAACAGAGGGUCGCCAACCCGCGAGGGGGAGCCAAUCCCAGAAAACCGAUCGUAGUCCGGAUCGCACUCUGCAACUCGAGUGCGUGAAGCUGGAAUCGCUAGUAAUCGCGGAUCAGCAUGCCGCGGUGAAUACGUUCCC
rnacentral:rRNA from 1 species